UACCAGCUCUCCGAGUGGUAGGGAUGAUUAUUGGGCUUAAAGCGUCCGUAGCCGGCUUAGCAAGUCUCCUGUUAAAUUCAGCGACCUAAUCGUUGAGCCGCGGGAGAUACUACUAGGCUAGGAGGCGGGAGAGGUCGACGGUACUUCCGGGGUAGGGGUGAAGUCCUAUAAUCCCGGGAGGACCACCAGUGGCGAAGGCUGUCGACUAGAACGCGCUCGACGGUGAGGGACGAAAGCUGGGGGAGCGAACCGGAUUAGAUACCCGGGUAGUCCCAGCUGUAAACGAUGCGGGCUAGGUGUUGGGGUGGCUACGGGCCACUUCAGUGGCGCAGGGAAACCAUUAAGCCCGCCGCCUGGGAAGUAUGAUCGCAAGAUUGAAACUUAAAGGAAUUGGCGGGGGAGCACCACGAAGGGGUGAAGCUUGCGGUUU
rnacentral:rRNA from 1 species